UUGAAAGGGAAACGAUUGAAGUCAGUCGUGCUGGCGCGAAAUCAACCCCUUCAUCGGGAGACCCAUGUUGUGGCGAGCCUCAGAACCGCCACAGCAUGUGUCUCACGAUGAGGGGGAGCACUUUCGUGUCCGCUGGUUAACAUCAAUUUCGAACGUCGUAAAAAGGCUGGAGGGAUGCGGCUCCUUCGGGAGUGUUAUAACCUUUAGCGGAAUGUGGUGUUCGGGAUUGAGGAUUGCAACGAAUACCUUUAGGGCUGUUCCACCUGGCUUCUCUUUGGUAUCCUGGUGACGACAGCUUGCUGACGUUGUUAGGAUUCGCCUUUGAACAGGCUAGAGUGUGAGCAAAUUCGUUAAGGAUGUUGACGUA
rnacentral:rRNA from 1 species